rnacentral:rRNA from 1 species
AGCUAAUAGAUACCCAGGUAGUCCCAGCAGUAAACGGUGCGCGUUUGGUGUGAGCAGGUUCGACCCUGUUCGCGCCGGAGCUAACGCGUUAAACGCGCCGCCUGGGAAGUACGAUCGCAAGAUUAAAACUCAAAGAAAUUGACGGGGGCCCGCACAAGCGGUGGAGUAUGUGGCUUAAUUCGAUGCAACGCGAAGAACCUUACCUGGGUUUGACAUGCAUCUCUAAGGCGGUGAAAGCUGCCGAGGGUAGCAAUACCCAAUUUGCACAGGUGCUGCAUGGCUGUCGUCAGCUCGUGUCGUGAGAUGUUGGGUUAAGUCCCGCAACGAGCGCAACCCUUGUAUGCUGUUGCCAUGAUUACUCAUGGCUCUCUGCGUAGACUGCCCCGUGAAACGGGGAGGAAGUGGGAUGACGUCAAGUCAGCAUGGCCCUUACACCCAGGGCUGCACACGUACUACAAUGCCCAGUACAAUUCGAACCGUCCGCGAGGGCUGGGAAAUCAGCGAAAACUGGGCUCAGUUC